GAUUUCUGGUAUGGCGCACUUGGCCCGUCUCGGUUACGAGUUUGUGUGCCGGUGUGCGCCUGCCAUCUUUCUGGGGAAUUAUAUCGGCCUUCACUGUGUUGGUAUAACGAUCCAGAUCUUUUACUUUGAAAAAAUUAGAGUGUUUAAAGCAGGCUUGUUGCUAUGAAUACAUUAGCAUGGAAUAAUAAUUUAGGACUUUGGUCUUAUUUUGUUGGUUUCUAGGACUAAAGUAAUGAUUGAUAGAGAUAGUUGGGGGUGCUAGUAUUCAGCGGCCAGAGGUGAAAUUCUUGGAUUCGCUGAAGACUAACUUAUGCGAAAGCAUU
rnacentral:rRNA from 1 species